rnacentral:rRNA from 1 species
GAUGAACGCUGGCGGCGUGCCUAAUACAUGCAAGUCGAGCGAACAGACGAGGAGCUUGCUCCUUCGACGUUAGCGGCGGACGGGUGAGUAACACGUAGGUAACCUACCUAUAAGACUGGGAUAACUUCGGGAAACCGGAGCUAAUACCGGAUAAUAUUUCGAACCGCAUGGUUCGAUAGUGAAAGAUGGCUUUGGUAUCACUUAUAGAUGGACCUGCGCCGUAUUAGCUAGUUGGUAAGGUAACGGCUUACCAAGGCAACGAUACGUAGCCGACCUGAGAGGGGGUACGGCCACACUGGAACUGAGACACGGUACAGACUCCUACGGGAGGCAGAAGUAGGGAAUCUUCCGCAAUGGGCGAAAGCCUGACGGAGCAACGCAGCGUGAGUGAUGAAGGUCUUCGGAUCGUAAAACGCUGUUAUUAGGGAAGAACAAACGUGUAAGUAACUGUGCACGUCUUGACGGUACCGAAUCAGAAAGCCACGGCUAACUACGU